rnacentral:lncRNA from 1 species
CUUCCACCAGAAUGUCAUCCCCAUGAUGGCAGGGACCAUGUCACAUUUUUAACCUUUGCAUUUUCAGCCUGAGGUAUGUGCUGGCAUGUAGAGCGCACUUAAGAAAUAUUUGUUGAAUCCCUCGAAACAUUAUUUCCUUCUAUCUCCAGUCUGCAUUCAAAGUGCCUCACUUCAAGCCCUCUCUUGCCAUCAGCCUGAAUCUCUGGGUUCGCCUGCCCUUGUGCCCACCAUUCUGCAAGAGCUGGGCUCAGAAUAAUCCUCCUGAAUUUGCCCCUCCUAUUACUGGAAUUCUGAGCACCACUGAGAAAAUACAACAACUGUGAAGGUACGUUACCAUUUGUGUUCACAUGCAGUAAGAAUAUCAUUUGAUGUUGAGAGUCAACAUAUAAAGUAGGCAUUGUCAUCUGUGUUCUACAAAUUGAAAUUCUCAGUCCCAGAGAGGUUAAGUGACUUUCCCAAAGUUACUUUGCUGAUUAUGCCAAAGAACGGGGAAUAUGUGAUUGGUACACAAAAGACACACAGAAUUCUUGGUUACAAACAACAGAGGACACUCCAGUUUGUUGAAAUAGAAGGGAUUUUUGGUAGCUCACCAAUCUGCAGGAGGGCUAGAGAAUCCAGCCAGGAACAAUGGAGGUAGGAAAAAUGCCCAGUUCAUACCACAGACAGUUCCAAUAAACCACCG